CCUCUGUAGUCCAAGAGGUGCCCCUGGUUGUUGGUACCCUGGGCAUACCAGGCUUGCAGAGAGAGCAGCAGCAGGAGGAAGCCGAGGCAGGGCUGCCAGAGCGCGGCAGCGACAUGCGCAAUAUUCCUCCAACAGAUGCCACUCUGUUGCCACGGAGAUAAUGACUUUUCCCGUGUCAUUAUUGAUCUACCAACAGUAAGAGCAAUUUUGCAGUUUGAUAUUGUUUAGCAAAUAGAGUAAAGUCUGCUGAACACUGAAGAAACUGCUAUAAAA
rnacentral:snoRNA from 1 species